AAUUUCAGAAUUUUAAAGUGCACAAAAGUAUUUUUAAACCAAUUAAAACAAAAAAUAAAAGAGAAUUUUCAAGAAAAAUAGAAAGUCAAGGAAAUAAAAUGUUGAAAAAUAAAAAUCAAAUGAAGAAAAAUAAAAGGGAAUUUUAGAAAUUAUUUUUGUAUUUUUUCCACUUAAAAUGAAAUUUCUAUUAAUUUUAAAAGAGAAUGCAAUUUAAAA
rnacentral:lncRNA from 1 species